rnacentral:tRNA from 1 species
GGUAGCGUGGCCGAGUGGUUAGGGCGCCGGACUUGAAAUCCGGAGGUCGUGGGCUCAAGUCUCGCUGUUACCA